CACCAAUAAACAUAACAAAUAAUCCUUAUAUCAUAAUAUUGUAUCAAAUUGAUACUGGUAAUCAUUACAACAAUAACCAUAAUAUUUUUUUGAAAAAAAAAAAACAUAAUUUAUUCACAAAUUUGUAUGACAACUCUGGCUCCUAGCUUGUGAACUUCCUCUCAUAGCUUGUUGGGACGUCGUUGUAGUAUUGCCUGAAAGCAGGCCAUUAUUUGUUACCAUCUGCAAACCAGUACAAGCUUUUCAUUGAUAAAUUAAGCACAAUAAAUCUCCAAUAAACCAGUACAAGCUUUUCUGGCAUUAUGCCCAUGGUAAACUCACUUCUUCGGUGAAAUUAAUUGUUUAAAAUUCUCCAAAAUUAAUUAAUUGUCCAAAAAUUCUCAAAAAUUCUAGUGGAUUUUGAAUGAUAAUAAAAAGAAAUAAAGUUAAUUUAGUAAAAAAAAAAGAGGAAAAUUAAAGAGGGAAAAGCUAGUUUAAGAUAAGUGAACCGUGGAUUGAAGAUGCAUGAGCAGCAACCACGUGAAUGAGCAGCAACGACGCACGAGCAGCAGCCACACGAACGAGCAGCAACCAGAUGCGGUCUCGAUCGACGUAGCGGCAGCGCGAGCAGAUCCAGCAGCUUGCGGCAGCGCGAGCAGAUCCAGCGACUUGCGGCACGGCAGGCCCAGCAGUUCCAGCGACUUCCGGCAGCCCCAUCAAUUCCAGCAGUUUCCGGCGAACCGUGUGAGUGUGUUUGUUAAGGAUUUGUCAAGAUCUGGAAGGAGCAGUGUCAGUGCAUGUGUUAAGCGUUUUGUUCGUGUGUGGGUUUUUGGUCAAUUCAUUUGUUGUUAAUGUGCAAUUACGAUAUUAACCUUUGACUGAUUUAACGAAACUGUUUCCGUUAAGAAAUUGGGGUCUGUAUGUCUUUUUUCAAACAUUAGGGAGUUUU
rnacentral:lncRNA from 1 species